rnacentral:rRNA from 1 species
UACGUAGGGUGCAAGCGUUGUCCGGAAUUAUUGGGCGUAAAGAGCUCGUAGGCGGUUUGUUGCGUCGGCUGUGAAAUCCCGAGGCUCAACCUCGGGUCUGCAGUCGAUACGAGCAAACUAGAGUGUUGCAGGGGAGACUGGAAUUCCUGGUGUAGCGGUGAAAUGCGCAGAUAUCAGGAGGGAACACCGGUGGCGAAGGCGGGUCUCUGGGCCGAUACUGACACUGAGGAGCGAAAAGCGUGGGGGAGCGAACAGG